AGAGCUUGAUCAUGGCUCAGAUUGAACGCUGGCGGCAGGCCUAACACAUGCAAGUCGAACGGUAACAGGAAGAAGCUUGCUUCUUUGCUGACGAGUGGCGGACGGGUGAGUAAUGUCUGGGAAACUGCCUGAUGGAGGGGGAUAACUACUGGAAACGGUAGCUAAUACCGCAUAACGUCGCAAGACCAAAGAGGGGGACCUUCGGGCCUCUUGCCAUCGGAUGUGCCCAGAUGGGAUUAGCUAGUAGGUGGGGUAACGGCUCACCUAGGCGACGAUCCCUAGCUGGUCUGAGAGGAUGACCAGCCACACUGGAACUGAGACACGGUCCAGACUCCUACGGGAGGCAGCAGUGGGGAAUAUUGCACAAUGGGCGCAAGCCUGAUGCAGCCAUGCCGCGUGUAUGAAGAAGGCCUUCGGGUUGUAAAGUACUUUCAGCGGGGAGGAAGGGAGUAAAGUUAAUACCUUUGCUCAUUGACGUUACCCGCAGAAGAAGCACCGGCUAACUCCGUGCCAGCAGCCGCGGUAACACGGAGGGUGCAAGCGUUAAUCGGAAUUACUGGGCGUAAAGCGCACGCAGGCGGUUUGUUAAGUCAGAUGUGAAAUCCCCGGGCUCAACCUGGGAACUGCAUCUGAUACUGGCAAGCUUGAGUCUCGUAGAGGGGGGUAGAAUUCCAGGUGUAGCGGUGAAAUGCGUAGAGAUCUGGAGGAAUACCGGUGGCGAAGGCGGCCCCCUGGACGAAGACUGACGCUCAGGUGCGAAAGCGUGGGGAGCAAACAGGAUUAGAUACCCUGGUAGUCCACGCCGUAAACGAUGUCGACUUGGAGGUUGUGCCCUUGAGGCGUGGCUUCCGGAGCUAACGCGUUAAGUCGACCGCCUGGGGAGUACGGCCGCAAGGUUAAAACUCAAAUGAAUUGACGGGGGCCCGCACAAGCGGUGGAGCAUGUGGUUUAAUUCGAUGCAACGCGAAGAACCUUACCUGGUCUUGACAUCCACGGAAGUUUUCAGAGAUGAGAAUGUGCCUUCGGGAACCGUGAGACAGGUGCUGCAUGGCUGUCGUCAGCUCGUGUUGUGAAAUGUUGGGUUAAGUCCCGCAACGAGCGCAACCCUUAUCCUUUGUUGCCAGCGGUCCGGCCGGGAACUCAAAGGAGACUGCCAGUGAUAAACUGGAGGAAGGUGGGGAUGACGUCAAGUCAUCAUGGCCCUUACGACCAGGGCUACACACGUGCUACAAUGGCGCAUACAAAGAGAAGCGACCUCGCGAGAGCAAGCGGACCUCAUAAAGUGCGUCGUAGUCCGGAUUGGAGUCCGCAACUCGACUCCAUGAAGUCGGAAUCGCUAGUAAUCGUGGAUCAGAAUGCCACGGUGAAUACGUUCCCGGGCCUUGUACACACCGCCCGUCACACCAUGGGAGUGGGUUGCAAAAGAAGUAGGUAGCUUAACCUUCGGGAGGGCGCUUACCACUUUGUGAUUCAUGACUGGGGUGAAGUCAACAAGGUA
rnacentral:rRNA from 1 species